rnacentral:rRNA from 1 species
AACGAACGCUGGCGGCGUGCCUAAUACAUGCAAGUCGAACGUGAACAGGGGCAACCCUUAGUAAAGUGGCGCACGGGUGAGUAACACGUAGGUAACCUGCCUUUUAGUGGGGAAUAACACCGGGAAACCGGUGCUAAUGCCGCAUACGUAAGUAAUUCGAAAGAGGGCGUCCGCAAGGAGCUCUCGCUGAAAGAAGGGCCUGCGGCCUAUUAGCUAGUUGGUGGGGUAAUGGCCUACCAAGGCAACGAUAGGUAUCCGGUCUGAGAGGAUGAUCGGACACACUGGAACUGAGACACGGUCCAGACUCCUACGGGAGGCAGCAGUAGGGAAUAUUGCGCAAUGGGGGAAACCCUGACGCAGCAACGCCGCGUGAGUGAGGAAGGUCUUCGGAUUGUAAAACUCUUUUAUUUGGGAAAAAUGGUCAUGGAGCUAAUACCCCAUGAUGUGAUGGUACCAAAGGAAUAAGCACCGGCUAACUUCGUGCCAGCCGCCGCGGUAA